ensembl:miRNA
AGCGUGGUAGCAUACACCUGUAGUCCUAGAUACUCAGGAGGGUGAGUAUCUAGGACUACACGUGUGUGCUACCACGCU